AGGACGAACGCUGGCGGCGUGCUUAACACAUGCAAGUCGAACGGUAAGGCCCUUCGGGGUACACGAGUGGCGAACGGGUGAGUAACACGUGGGUGAUCUGCCCUGCACUUCGGGAUAAGCUUGGGAAACUGGGUCUAAUACCGGAUAUGACUACGAAUCGCAUGGUUUGUGGUGGAAAGCUUUUGCGGUGUGGGAUGGGCCCGCGGCCUAUCAGCUUGUUGGUGGGGUGAUGGCCUACCAAGGCGACGACGGGUAGCCGGCCUGAGAGGGUGUCCGGCCACACUGGGACUGAGAUACGGCCCAGACUCCUACGGGAGGCAGCAGUGGGAAUAUUGCACAAUGGGCGCAAGCCUGAUGCAGCGACGCCGCGUGAGGGAUGACGGCCUUCGGGUUGUAAACCUCUUUCAGUAUCGACGAAGCGCAAGUGACGGUAGGUACAGAAGAAGGACCGGACCGAACUACGUGCCAGCAGCCGCGGUAA
rnacentral:rRNA from 1 species